GGGGAAUUUUGGACAAUGGGCGAAAGCCUGAUCCAGCAAUGCCGCGUGCAGGAUGAAGGCCUUCGGGUUGUAAACUGCUUUUGUACGGGAAGAAAAAGCUCCUUCUAAUACAGGGUGCCCAUGACGGUACCGUAAGAAUAAGCACCGGCUAACUACGUGCCAGCAGCCGCGGUAAUACGUAGGUUGCGAGCGUUAACCGGAAUACUGGGCGUAAAGCGUGCGCAGGCGGUUAUGUAAGACAGAUGUGAAAUCCCCGGGCUCAACCUGGGAACGGCGUUGGUGACGGCAUGGCUAGAGUACGGUAGAGGGGGAUGGAAUUCCGCGUGUAGCAGUGAAAUGCUUAGAUAUGCGGAGGAACACCGAUGGCGAAGGCAAUCCCCUGGACCUGUACUGACGCUCAUGCACGAAAGCGUGGGGAGCAAACA
rnacentral:rRNA from 1 species